rnacentral:rRNA from 1 species
AUCUCUGAGGAGAAAGCAGGGGAUCGCAAGACCUUGCGCUUUUGGAGCGGCCGAUGUCUGAUUAGCUUGUUGGUGAGGUAAAAGCUUACCAAGGCUUCGAUCAGUAGCUGGUCUGAGAGGACGACCAGCCACACUGGGACUGAGACACGGCCCAGACUCCUACGGGAGGCAGCAGUGGGGAAUUUUGGACAAUGGGGGCAACCCUGAUCCAGCCAUGCCGCGUGAGUGAAGAAGGCCUUCGGGUUGUAAAGCUCUUUCAGCCGGAACGAAACGGUUACGGUUAAUACCCGUGACUACUGACGGUACCGGAAGAAGAAGCACCGGCUAACUACGUGCCAGCAGCCGCGGUAAUACGUAGGGUGCGAGCGUUAAUCGGAAUUACUGGGCGUAAAGCGUGCGCAGGCGGUUUUGUAAGUCAGAUGUGAAAUCCCCGGGCUUAACCUGGGAACUGCGUUUGAAACUACAAGGCUAGAGUGUGGCAGAGGGGGGUGGAAUUCCGCGUGUAGCAGUGAAAUGCGUAGAGAUGUGGAGGAACACCGAUGGCGAAGGCAGCCCCCUGGGUCAGCACUGACGCUCAGGCACGAAAGCAUGGGGAGCAAACAGGAUUAGAUACCCUGGUAGUCCAUGCCCUAAACGAUGUCAACUAGUUGUCGGGCCUUAACGGGCUUGGUAACGUAGCUAACGCGUGAAGUUGACCGCCUGGGGAGUACGAUCGCAAGAUUAAAACUCAAAGGAAUUGACGGGGACCCGCACAAGCGGUGGAUUAUGUGGAUUAAUUCGAUGCAACGCGAAAAACCUUACCUACCCUUGACAUGUACCGAAGCUUACUG